UAGUCAUAUGCUUGUCUCAAAGAUUAAGCCAUGCAUGUCUAAGUACAAGCCUCACUAAGGUGAAACCGCGAAUGGCUCAUUAAAUCACACCUAAUCUACUGGAUAGUUAACAGUUACUUGGAUAACUGCGGUAAUUCUGGAGCUAAUACAUGCGCAAAGCCCCGAACUUACGUGAGGGGCGCUUUUAUUAGAUCAAAACCAAACGGCUUCGGCUGUAUCCUUGGUGACUCUGAAUAACUUUGGGCUGAUCGCAUGGCCUAGCGCCGGCGACAUAUCCUUCGAAGGUGUGCCCUAUCAACUGUCGACUGUGGCAUAGACGCCCACAGUGGUUUUGACGGGUAACGGGGAAUCAGGGUUCGAUUCCGGAGAGGGAGCCUUAAAAACGGCUACCACAUCUAAGGAAGGCAGCAGGCACGCAAAUUACCCAAUGACCGAAGGUCGAGGUAGUGACAAAAAAUAACGAUACGGGACUCAUCUGAGGCCCCGUAAUCGGAAUGAGUACACUUUAAAACCGUCCCCGAGGAUCUAUUA
rnacentral:rRNA from 1 species